CUGCGAUCAGCUGAUCAGCUGAAUUCAACAAGAUGAAACAAAUGUUCUGUGAGAUUUAUGCACGAUAGGUUCACUUGAUACCUCAAUAACCUGACCUGAACUUUACGUCUGCACCGUGCACGCAUCACAGGGACGAGGAGGAAAAAGGAUGAGCCGUGUCUGUAAGCAGGCCGUGGCAUAUCGAGUAUUAGAAGACAGACUGCUCCCCUGCUGUUCCCCUGCAGAGACUCUGAUUAGCUCCUCUCUCCAGGACAGAGACCUCACCCAGCAUCUGUAUUGCUGCUCCGUGACCUUAUUGAUGAGCCGCCACCAGCUAUGACAAGUAUGCCAUGUGUCAGAGGACGCCUCCUGUAGGAGAAACAGGAGUAAGACGGGACACCUGCGUGGAAUUCCCGAGUCCAGAGCAUGAAACAAACCUCAUUGUUGCUCCGACACAACGCUCAAUGAAUUUAUAAUGAAUGACCAGGAUGUUCUCGCCCUCUUUUGUAAUGGUUAUGUAAUAGCUUUGAUUUCUGCUAACCCUCCUUUUUUCUGAAGAGUCCCAUCUGCUUUGCUGUUUGACUGAAGUAUCCAUUUAACUUCAGUCAAUCUGUUUUCUUAACCGAUAUCCAAUUCAGGGUUCUUGGGGGAGGUGGAGUCUAUCCCAGCUGAAGGUACAUCCUGGACAGGUGGCAGGUCACAGGGCUAACACACAGACGCAGGCAUUCACACUCAUAUCAAUGCCUGCAGCAGAUUUAGAAUCGCAAGCUAACACAACAAGGACUCUUUGGACUGUGAGGGGAAGGCCACAGGCGAAGACAAAAAGAGAGAAGAAGCUCCACCUGAAGAGGAGAUUCAAACCUAGAACCUCGUUGUUGUGAGGUACCCGUGCUGUACAGCAACAACCUGCCUCAGUUCCUUCCAUUAUUUUUACAGCGUGUCGUAUUUCCACAGAAGGUGUGACAGUAACGUCUCAGUUCUGAUGAAGGCUGAGGCAGCCAUUCUGUUCCCGAGGAAUCAUCUGCCGUCCAAUGAAAACUAUCCUCUGAUUAUCAGCAGUCAUCAAGGUGCAGCUUUCAAACAGAUCAGCGCUUGUUCAUAAUGUUGUUGCUAAACUGCAGCACUUCUCCACACAUGUUUUAAAUGCGGUUAAAUGAAGUCCAAACCCUCUUUGCAUCUAGCGGCUGCAUGAAUACCUAACGAGACCGACGAGUCCUUUGAUUGCCGUUCACUCUUUUCUGUUACGUGCUCUUAUAGGUUUAGCAGGCUUGUGCAGAGUAGUUUCACAGUUCGGAUAUUUUUCAGGCUGGGUGUUUCUUUGAAGUUACUGUACUGACCUACUUUAUUUAUUUUCUUUUGUAGUCGCCCUCAUUUACAUUUAUCAUUUACUCAGAGUAAACGCAGCGUACAGCCCUCUCCAUCGGUCUGUUUUUGGCAGAAAUGUUCUAGCUGAUCAUAGAAAUGCUAGCAAAGUACUGCUGAUUAAACAUUCACAGUGUUCAGAGUCCAAACACAUGA